rnacentral:rRNA from 1 species
GAUGAACGCUGGCGGCAGGCCUAACACAUGCAAGUCGAACGCACCGCAAGGUGAGUGGCGCACGGGUGAGUAACACGUGGGAAUGUACCCUUUGGUUCGGAAUAACGUUUGGAAACGAACGCUAAUACCGGAUGAGCCCUGCGGGGGAAAGAUUUAUCGCCAAAGGAGCAGCCCGCGUCUGAUUAGCUAGUUGGUGGGGUAAAGGCCUACCAAGGCGACGAUCAGUAGCUGGUCUGAGAGGAUGAUCAGCCACACUGGGACUGAGACACGGCCCAGACUCCUACGGGAGGCAGCAGUGGGGAAUAUUGGACAAUGGGCGGAAGCCUGAUCCAGCCAUGCCGCGUGAGUGAUGAAGGCCUUCGGGUUGUAAAGCUCUUUCGCACGCGACGAUGAUGACGGUAGCGUGAGAAGAAGCCCCGGCUAACUUCGUGCCAGCCGCCGCCGUAACAC